UGUAGGGGAUAGUAUAAAAGCGAAGUAUGUGUAUCCUACCUGUGUGGUAGAGAUAGAAGGUAAAACACUUCCAAUUUAUUUGAUUCCCAAUACCACACCGAGCAGAAUAUGAAGAGCAGAUACACUUACCCCUUUGAGUAAUCAGGUAAUUUACUCUUUUAAAUUCGAGGACGAAUUUUAUAUAAGGGGGGGAGGAUGUAA
rnacentral:lncRNA from 1 species